GACAGAGGUCCCGAGCGUUAGGCGGAAUCACCGGGCUUAAAGCGUGUGUAGGCGGAUCGUUAAGUACCUUGUGAAAUCCCACGGCUUAACCGUGGAACUGCUUGGUAUACUGGCGAUCUUGAGCCACUUAGGGGCUACCGGAACAAAUGGUGGAGCGGUGAAAUGCGUAGAUAUCAUUUGGAACGCCAAAGGUGAAAACAGGUUGCUGGGAAUGUGCCGACGCUGAGACACGAAAGCCAGGGGAGCAAACGGG
rnacentral:rRNA from 1 species